rnacentral:rRNA from 1 species
AUUGAACGCUGGCGGCAGGCCUAACACAUGCAAGUCGAACGAGUGGCGGACGGGUGAGUAAUGUCUGGGAAACUGCCCGAUGGAGGGGGAUAACUACUGGAAACGGUAGCUAAUACCGCAUACCAUCGGAUGUGCCCAGAUGGGAUUAGCUAGUAGGUGGGGUAACGGCUCACCUAGGCGACGAUCCCUAGCUGGUCUGAGAGGAUGACCAGAAACACUGGAACUGAGACACGGUCCAGACUCCUACGGGAGGCAGCAGUGGGGAAUAUUGCACAAUGGGCGCAAGCCUGAUGAAGCAAUGCCGCGUGAGUGAAGAAGGCCUGCGGGUUGUAAAGUACUGUCAGCGGGGAGGCGUUACUCGCAGAAGAAGCACCGGCUAACUCCGUGCCAGCAGCCGCGGUAAUAC